GAGACGGCAAAAACCUCAAUAGCCACCAGAAACAAAAAAAGAAAGAGAUCGCUUCAUUCUGCCUCCUUUCUGGUGAUCCAUCCAUCGCUCUCGUUCACCGUUUAGCCCUUCAAUGGUAAUAUGAACCGCAUCAUUGAUGAGGGAGGCAUGGCUUCAGCAUCUUUUUAAAGUCAUUCAGAGCUAUUGUUAUUGAAGACACGCUUCACCUUCUUGUGAAGGUUAACGGAGGACACAGCGGUAGUUUCCUUUCCCUUGCAUACUGAGGCUCUUGGAUUUGCUCACAAUGAGGAAAGGAUGAUUCAGACAGCAAUAUUAUAUGCAUGAACUCUUGAUACCUACAAUGGUGUAGUUCUGUUCUUGCUGCGUUGGAUUUAUAUACAUAUUCUGCAAUCAAUACCUGUAUGUCUUACAUUGUCAUCUUCAAAUUGAUGGUGAAAGACGUGCAAUCGACGAAUUUGCUGGUUUUAUCCACUAUCCUUCCUGAUCUUGGAUCUUAGAUAAAUGUCUCAACGAAGGGAAUGUAUCUGAUGGCCAUUGAUGAUGCUAAAGCUUUUUCUUGACAAUUAGUUGAUGCGGGAAUCAUAAUGGUCAUGUGUUGUGCUUCUAUUCAAAGGAGCAGAGACGGAGAGUAUUAUGAGAGCUGUUUUUGUUUUCGUUUGGCUGAUUGCAGGUGCAGUUCUAAUAUUAGUUGCUUUACUGCUGCUGGGAUUUUUGUUUCAAAAGGAGCAGCAUAUGGAAGUGAAACAUCUUUCUUUUCUCUUGGCAGAGGAUGGUUGAUAUGGUGAAGCCAUGAAGGAGCAAGCCACUGCAAUUUGUUGGAUCAAGCGGCUGAGGAACCUUUGGUCUCCGUGAUUUAGAAUCUUGUGGAGGUGAAUUUAUGCUUACCCCGGUGCUUCAGAAUGGUUCUGGAUUAGGAGAAAGCUGAGGUGAUUAAAGCUGAGAUGAUGAGUGAUUUUUUUUUAUACUAUCUUUUCUCCGGUUUUUUUUUUUUUUUUUCCGGUUGUCUUGCCCCCUCUCUUUUGGAUGACUUUUCAUUUCACUAGCGUGGAUAUGGUAAUCUGCGUACACUAACAACAAAAGAACUGGUGAUUAGUGAAGCAUGAAAGAGUUAAAAAGUGUGUAUCUUGUGUUGUAUUCUUGGCACACUGACUUGUAGAUUCUUUAGACAGAUUUAAUUUUUGACCCCAUGUAAUUUUUUUUUUGUUGCGAUA